CUUGGGAAACUGAGGAUAAUACUGGAUAGGCAAUUAUUCCUGUAAUGGUUUUUUGUUUAAAUGUUUUUUCGCCUAAGGAUGAGUCUGCGGCCGAUUAGGUAGUUGGUUAGGUAAUGGCUUACCAAGCCGUUGAUCGGUACGGGUUGUGAGAGCAAGAGCCCGGAGAUGGAACCUGAGACAAGGUUCCAGGCCCUACGGGGUGCAGCAGGCGCGAAACCUCCGCAAUGUGAGAAAUCGCGACGGGGGGAUCCCAAGUGCCAUUCUUAACGGGAUGGCUUUUCA
rnacentral:rRNA from 1 species